UGGUUAUUAUAGCAAAGAGGAUACACCUGUUCCCAUCCCGAACACAGAAGUUAAGCUCUUUAGCGCCGAUGGUACUUGGUGGGAAGCUGCCUGGGAGAGUA
rnacentral:rRNA from 1 species